rnacentral:tRNA from 1 species
CAAGAUGUAGCUUAAUAAAUAAAACAUUUACCUCUAUAAAAGUAUAGGAGAUAGAAAUUUAUAAUUGGAGCUAU